ensembl:lncRNA
GGGUAACAAGGGUGUGUGGGCAUGCGCAGAUGCUCCCAGGUGCUUAUGCCCUCUCCUAAAGCCCUGCGUGGUGUCUCUCAGCAGGUGGGGGCCGCAGGAUCCAGCCGAAGUACGAUGCUAUCCUUGAGGCUCCACCCUGGCAUGAGGUUGUGAUGCUACGGCAGUCCUUCUCGGAACCCAACCACCAUCCUUAUAAGGAAGUCCAGGCUUAGGCCACUCAAUAAUGUGGAGCCAUGGAAGAAAGACCCUGAGGAUGAGAGACCAUUUCAGGUAUUGUCCAGCCUUGGCCAUGUUCCUGCAUGAAUCCAGUUGCUCAAUGAUAGCCCAGCCGAACCACCCAGGUUGCAGCCCCAUAUCCGGUAAGGGGAUCUGGAGAGGCAUCCAGCCGCCAGC